AUAAUCAGGUGAAGUGACACAUCAUCACAUUUGCAGGCAUAAAUAACGGUGACUGAAGUUCAGAGACACAGAGCAGAAGCAGAAGUUUUGAAUCAAGUUCAUUCCAGCUGCAGCAGUGAUCCACACUGACUCCAGGUUUUCAGUUUUAUCCAGUUCAACAGUAAGGAUGAAGCUGUCAUCAGUUCUCCUCCUCUUGGCUCCACUGCUGAUCAGCUGUGCAGAGGUCAAACUGCCAGCUGACUGUAAUGACCUCUACAAUGUGGACAAUAAUCUCCCC